AUUGAACGCUGGCGGCAGGCCUAACACAUGCAAGUCGAACGAGUGGCGGACGGAUGAGUAAUGUCGGGGAACCUGCCUGAAGGAGGGGGAUAACUACUGGAAACGGUAGAUAAUACCGCAUACCAACAGAUGGGCACACAUGGGAUUAGAUUGUUGGUGGGGUAACGGCUCACAAAGGCGACGGUCCCUAGCCGGUCUGAGAGGAUGACCAGCCCCACUGUAACUGAGACACGGUCCAGACUCCUACUGGAGGCAGCAGUGGGGAAUAUUGCACAAUGGGCGCAAGCCUGAUGCAGCCAUGCAGCGUGUAUGAAGAAGGCCUUCGGGUUGUAAAGUACUGUUGGCGGGGAGGCGUUACCCGCAGAAGAAGCACCGGCUAACUCCGUGCCAGCAGCCGCGGUAAUUC
rnacentral:rRNA from 1 species